rnacentral:misc_RNA from 1 species
GUUCUUGUUCUCGCUAACAUAAACAACCUGUAGAGGCAUCAUAAGCCACGGGAAGAACUCGAAAAAGGGGGCUUCGUUUAGUUUUGGCAGUGGAACUCUGCAAGGACAUUUGCUGGCUGGUGAAGAACGUUUUUCAAUAGCAUUGGACGAAAAUGAUCUAGUUUGGUACGAGAUACUUUCCUUCUCGAAGCCUGCACAUUUGCUGUCACUCUUUGGAUACCCUUAUGUUCUUCUAAGGCAAAAGUACUUUGCUCAUCAAUCAGGUAGUGCGGUGAAGAAACAUUUAUCUGCUUAAAACAUGUGAGGCUAUAACUGUGUGUGAACAGGAACUCUUUGUUGUAAAAGAUUCCCAUCCAUAGUUAUGUUGGGUCUUCAUUUCAUGUAUAUUUCUUUGCAUUAUAUGCACGACCUAGUUACUAAUAAUGCAAUUCUAGUCCUUGUUAAAGAAAAAUGUAAUUGUAGUCCAAUAGCUGGAUAAUCAGUGUGAUUUAAUUAAGUGAAUGCAUAGAAGAAAAACUAUGCAUAAGAACCCAAUAGCGAGAAUCAUU